GCCCUAUCGUCCAACGGUUAAGACACCGCCCUGAUAAGGCGGCAAUCCAAGUUCAAUUCUUGGUGGGGCUA
rnacentral:tRNA from 1 species